GGAGGAGGCGUAUCUAUUAACUUUGAGACUGUUAGGUUUUUUCGGCUAAAAAUUCCAAAUUCUUGACACAGUGCCGCCAUUAAUCUUUGAUCUCCGAUUAGGACUCGCUAAACCCUAGAAAAAGUGACUGUAUACCAAUGGCAGGCGGCGGCGAGAGCAGCAUCUUACGCUACUUCAAGAAAGGAGCCGAAGUCGAGGUAAACAGCGACGACGAUGGAUUUCGCGGGUCUUGGUUCGCGGCCACUGUGAUCCGGGCGCCGAAAGAUGAAUCCUCCAAGGUCCUGGUGGAGUACAAGACCUUGACGGAGGACGAGGCGGGCAAGCGGCCGUUGAGGGAGCCGCUGAGGCUGGUGCAGCUACGCCCUCCGCCGCCUCAUGAAAAUCGCCCCUCCUUCGAGUUCAGCGACGAAGUGGAUGCAUACUACAACGACGGGUGGUGGGAGGGGGUGAUCACCCAGAAAUUUGAGGGGAAGGAUAAAUAUACUGUCUUUUUCCGUGGGUCGAGGGAGGAGCUGUCAUUUACGGCCUCGCAGUUGAGGCCGCACCGCGAGUGGGUCACGGGGGAGAAGUGGGUCCCGCCUUUGCUCCCCUACUCCCACGCCAAUAAAACUCCGUUGUCAGCUGAAGCGGAAGACAGCACGGUGGCAACUGAACAUAACUGUAACCCAGGAAACCAUGCGGAAGCCAGUAGGGAUAAAGAUGGUUUUGAAAAUGGAUCCAUACAGUAUCAUAAGAAAACUCCGUCAUCAGCUGAAGCGAAAGACAACAUGGUGGCGACUAAACAUAACUUCAACUCAGGAGACCAUGCGGAAGCCAGUAGCGAUGAAGAUGGUUUUGAAGGUGCUUGGUUUCCUGUAACUGUUCUCGAGAAAACAGCAGCUGGAAAAUAUCUGAUUGAGUACAAAAAACUGAUGAACGAUGAUGGCACGGGCUUCUUGAGAGAAGAGAUCAAUGAACUCCAUUUAAGGCCAAGCCCUCCUGAUGUUGGAGUCGUUGACAGGUUUAAAGUUAAUGACCAAGUUGAUGCUUUUUACAAUGAUUGUUGGUGGGUUGGUAGGGUUACGAAAGUUCUUGUAAAAGAAAGGUACUCUGUGUACUUUGAGAACCCGCCUGAAGAAUUGAAGUUUGAGCAUUCUGACUUGAGGGUGCAUCAAGAAUGGAGAAAUGGCAAAUGGCAUUUCUUCUAAGGCAAAUCAUAAAAUUGGUCAUGGUUGUGAGGAUUAUCUUUUAGUACUACUCCUAGUUAAUGAUUGAAUUUGUGAGGUUGUCAAGUUGUAGCGGCCGCUCUUGUGCAAGUGUAAAUGCUUUAACCCUCUGCUUCUUCUCCACUUGUAUUUAACACCUUACUUUUAAUUCUGGACAUGGUAGCACCUUAAGGAAUUUGAUUUUGCCAUAUUCACUACCUGUAGUUUUGGUAAACUCUCAUUCACAUUUUGAACCAACUUCUAUAGUAAUCCAGCUAAUUACUACUGUAA